UACGUAGGGGGCGAGCGUUAUCCGGAUUUACUGGGCGUAAAGCGCGUUAAGGCGGUUGGCAAAGUUGGCUGUGAAAUCUCAGGGCUCAACCCUGAAAUUGCGACCAAUACUGGUCGACUAGAGUGUGAGAGAGGAAGGUGGAAUUCCCGGUGUAGUAGUGAAAUGCGUAGAUAUCGGGAGGAACACCAGUGGCGAAGGCGGCCUUCUGGCUCAUAACUGACGCUGUAGCGCGAAAGCGUGGGGAGCAAACAGG
rnacentral:rRNA from 1 species